GAUAAUGAAAUAAAAUGUAAAGUGGCGCCACCUAUAGAACCAGGUGAGACGUGGCGAGGAACAAGGCAAGCAUUUCCCGCCUGAGCUUAGCCACAGGAACAAGCCACUCACCUGAGGGUUCCUUACGCCUGAUUGGUCCUAAAUAUUGGGUUAACGAGUGUGACGUGAUUGGCACGGAGGUCGUCCGACUCGCCCGAGGGAGUCGCACAUAGCCAACUUAUAAUCCUCGGGACGGAGGUGUAGAAGCAGGUGCGUACGAAGAUGAGUACGGCGCCGACGUGAGUGACGACAGAACAACGAACACUCGUGAACUACUAGCUACGCUCCGAUAUAUGUGCCAUUGCCAAAGCGUGAGCAAACAGAGUUUUGCAAUGUGGUGCUUGUGGUGAGUGUACGACCUAUAGAAAAUGGUGUGUGAAACUGUUCACAAAUGAUUCAAUGUUCGAUGCGGAAUCUUAAGGUCACUAUUUAAAGGUAUUUUAAGGGGGAGGUAUUAGGUAGCUGUAGGUAGGUUUUCUCUUUUGUGGUUGUACGUAUUUACUCAAGGUCUUUUUUUGUACAUAUUUAUUCAAUAAAUUGUAAUAGUGAAAUGUUUUUUUUUGUAUUCAUCCUUAACCAUAGACCUCAAUCAAAGAGGUGAUCCAUAAGAAGGUAACUGGUGGAGGGCCCAGGCCAGUGAGGGAGCUUGCACCAAGAUUAAUUUAAUUGUCUGACUCUCCCACC